rnacentral:misc_RNA from 1 species
GAGUCUCUCUCAAUCGACCACUUCGACCGCCUUCCCGAUUCCCUCCUCUUGCUUGUGUUCAACAAAAUCGGAGAUGUCAAGGCGCUUGGUCGAUGCUGCGUCGUUUCACGCCGCUUCCACUCUCUCGUACCACAAGUAGACAACGUCGUCGUUCGCGUCGACUGCGUCAUUUCCGAUGACGACACAUCCCCUUCCUCUUCCUCUGAGAAAUCUCGGUCUUCCAGUUCGUCUUCUGGGCUCUCAUCGAUUUUCCGGUUGGUGUUUUGUGGCAUUGUUAAGCCGUUCCACGCUCUCGGUCAGCUGCUUGGACCCAGGAGAGAGAUGUUAAAUUCUUACCCUUCGCGGAAUGGGUUUUUUUCUUCUUCCUCUUCUUCAUCGAGUUCAGCGUUGUCGUCGUCUUCCCUUUCCGUUGGGAACGAGGACGAUGGGGAAAUGGACCAGGGCGGUGUCACCCAUCAUUCCCCUACUCAGGUUCUUAAGAAUUUUAACGAAAUUCGGUUUUUAAGAAUCGAGUUGCCUGGUGGGGAAUUAGGAAUUGAUGAUGGGGUGCUUUUGAAAUGGAGGGCUGAUUUCGGAUCUACCCUUGAUAAUUGUGUUAUUCUAGGUGCUGC